rnacentral:rRNA from 1 species
UGGGGAAUAUUGCACAAUGGAGGAAACUCUGAUGCAGCAACGCCGCGUGAAGGAUGAAGGGUUUCGGCUCGUAAACUUCUAUCGACAGGGACGAAAAAAAUGACGGUACCUGAAUAAGAAGCUCCGGCUAACUACGUGCCAGCAGCCGCGGUAAUACGUAGGGAGCAAGCGUUAUCCGGAAUUACUGGGUGUAAAGGGUGAGUAGGCGGUAGUAUAAGUCAUAUGUGAAAUCCCCGGGCUUAACCUGGGGGGUGCAUAAGAAACUGUAUUACUAGAGUAUGGGAGAGGUAAGUGGAAUUCCUAGUGUAGCGGUGAAAUGCGUAGAUAUUAGGAAGAACACCAGUGGCGAAGGCGACUUACUGGACCAAAACUGACGCUGAGUCACGAAAGCGUGGGGAGCGAACA